rnacentral:rRNA from 1 species
CCUACGGGAGGCAGCAGUGGGGGAUAUUGCACAAUGGGGGAAACCCUGAUGCAGCGACGCCGCGUGGGCGAAGAAGUAUGUCGGGAUGUAAAGCCCUAGCAGCAGGGAAGAAGAAAGGACGGGACCUGAGUAAGAAGCACCGGCUAGAGACGUGCCAGCAGCCGCGGUAAUACGUCUGGUGCAAGCGUUAUCCGGAUUUACUGGGUGGAAAGGGAGCGCAGGCGGCACGGCAAGCCUGAUGUGAAAGCCCGCGGCCCAACCGCGGGACGGCAUUGGGAACUACCGGGCUGGAGUGCCGGAGAGGUAGGCGGAUUUCCUCUUGUAGCGGUUACAUGCGUCGAUAUUCGGCG